UACGAGGGGGCAAAUGUUGUUCGGAAUCACUUGGGCGUAAAGGGAGCGUAGGCGGGUUUUAAGUCAGGUGUUUAAUCCCGGGGCCCAACCCGGACAGGCACUUGAACUGGGAAUCUUGAAUAGUGGAGAGGUCGGUGGAAUUGGAGGUGUAGCGGUGGAAUGCGUAGAGAUCUCCAAGAACACCCGUUGCGAAGGCGGCCGACUGGACACAUAUUGACGCUGAGGCUCGAAAGCAUGGGGAGCAAACAGG
rnacentral:rRNA from 1 species